rnacentral:lncRNA from 1 species
CCCUCUUGUGAUUCCAGGGAUGCUGCCCUCUCUUUGUCCAGCAAACAGCUUUGAUGCCAGAUAAGCUGCCUCCCACUGGCAUUGUCACUGCUGAAUCCCUCAAUGGACAGUCAUAACCAGCAGAAAAUGUGUCCAUGUUGACAACAAGGUGGCUGCAUGAGGAUGGCUGCUGUCUUUCUAAUCAAACCCCUAUCAGCAUCUGCAGGCACUGCUUGUUGUUCCAGAAGCCUUUCAUGCCAACUGAACGGAGCACCAGGGAGUGCAGCCAUUAUCCACCUGCAUCCGGAUUUGGAUUCUGCUGGUGUGCACAGAAUGGCAAAGUGUCACAGAUUGUCUGCUGCGUGACAAUACUUCCAGCAGCACAGGCCUCAGCAGGUUUGGGGAAUCCACAGUCCAAAUGGGUGGGGUGUCCCAGGCAGAUGUGAAUUGGCCGUACCUUUAAAAGAGAAACCAAAGCUCCAGUGGGAGCUGGGGCAGCAUGGAGGCAGGUGACUGUGAAGAAGGAUGAAGUCUGUAGGUGCUCAGAGGUCUCCAGAUGAGGGGAAGAAGCACUGGCAAACUGUCCUUUGAAAUACACUCUCUGUAGGGAGGCUUUCGGGAGCAUCCUUCCUGGCGAAGCUGAACUGAGCUUCACCAUCUGCUUGGGAUUUCAACGGGAAGAUCUGUGAACAUGUGAAUUUAAACGAGUGGCAAUCAGGAAAUUGUUUCCUUCUCUUCCCAACCUUUCUUAAAAAUUACAAUGAAGCAGAACUCUCUCUCCACACUAAGUGGAUGGUGUGAUCUGUGCCCCAUGGACCCCAGCACCUCAGGGAGGGGCUCAGGGAUCUGGCUCCCAAAAUGCCCAGUGGCUGGGGAAUCUCCACUAGGCUGUUCUAGGGAGAUGGGGUGGGAUCCAUCCUUGGGCCAGUUUCAGAGUAACAUGCUGUUGGAGGCUGCAUGCUCCCUUUCUGUAGGAAGAGCGCAGCAGUCCUGAUUGCUAUUUCAGCAAUAUGUAAUUUACAGAUAUUCCCAAUCCACUCCCAUUGUCAUUUCCUACCAUGUUGUCACCCCAUCAGCCUUCCUUCUAACGAGGUGCAAGAGGACGGACGGCCUCUUUGAGAGUUGGGCUGGGCAGCGGUGGGCGAAUGGCCUGUGUUGGGAAUUGCUAUGUGAACUCUCCCCGCUGCCCAGGAAGUCUGUGAACCAGAUGCUCGUCUCUCCACCAGUGGGGUAGUACUAGAAGGAGAGAAAUCAAUCAGCAGCAUCUGAGGAAUACAAAGAAAGCCCCUGCAGCUUACAAUGUGUGCGCCUUCUGAAUGGUAGUUCUAGACUUAGAACUACUGAAUAGUGCUACCUAGCUACCCUGCACAAAGGCUUUUACCCAAUGCAAAGUGGAUAAAGGACUUCUUCCAAGCAUGCAGCAGCAUUGGGUACAUAGCCAUGGAA